rnacentral:misc_RNA from 1 species
GAUGAAGAACGCAGCGAAAUGCGAUACGUAAUGUGAAUUGCAGAAUUCAGUGAAUCAUCGAAUCUUUGAACGCAUAUUGCGCUCUCUGGUAUUCCGGAGAGCAUGCUUGUUUGAGUAUCAGUAAACACCUCAACUCCCUUUUCUUUUUUGAAAUUGGAGCUGGACUUGAGUGAUCCCAACGCUUUCUUCCAAGAAAGUGGCGGGUUGCUUGAAAUGCAGGUGCAGCUGAACUUUUCUUUGAGUUAUAAGCAUAUCUAUUUAGUCUGCCUAAAAAACAGAUUAUUACCUUUGCUGCAGCUAACAUAAAGGAGACUAGUUCUUGUGCUGACUGAUGCAGGAUUCACAGAGACAGCUUCGGCUGACUUUGUAAACUCGAUCUCAAAUCAAGUAAGACUACCCGCUGAACUUAAGCAUAUCAAUAAGCGGAGGA